GUCUCUUUGGAGACAUCUGAUAAAAUUGGAAUAAUAUAGAGAAGAUUAGCAUGGCCCUACGCAAGGAUGACAUGCACAAAUCAAGAAAUGAAUCAAAUUUUU
rnacentral:snRNA from 2 species